rnacentral:rRNA from 1 species
AACGAACGCUGGCGGCAUGCCUAACACAUGCAAGUCGAACGAGACCUUCGGGUCUAGUUGCGCACGGGUGUGUAACGCGUGGGAACCUGCCCUUAGGUUCGGAAUAACUCCCCGAAAGGGGUGCUAAUACCGGAUAGUGUCUUCGGACCAAAGAUUUAUCGCCUUUGGAUGGGCCCGCGUUGGAUUAGCUAGUUGGUAGGGUAAAAGCCUACCAAGGCGACGAUCCAUAGCUGGUCUGAGAGGAUGAUCAGCCACACUGGGACUGAGACACGGCCCAGACUCCUACGGGAGGCAGCAGUGGGGAAUAUUGGACAAUGGGCGAAAGCCUGAUCCAGCAAUGCCGCGUGAGUGAUGAAGGCCUUAGGGUUGUAAAGCUCUUUUACCCGGGAUGAUAAUGACAGUACCGGGAGAAUAAGCUCCGGCUAACUCCGUG